UAUUAUUUUAAGUGUUAAUUUUAUUUACCAGGGUAGUAUUAGUUAGGAUCUUUAAACCCAAAGAAUUUGGCGGUAUCUUAUUCCAUUUAGAGGAACCUACCCCAUGAUUGAUAAUACACGAUUAACUAUACUUAAUUUAUUUGUUUGUAUAUCUCCGUUACCAGAAAAUCUUUUUGGAGUAAUAAUUUUCUUGAUUUAUAAUUAUAAAAUAUUUCAGGUCAAGGUGCAGCUUAUAAUUAAGAGGAGGUGGGUUACAAUAAAUUUUAGUUUAUUACGUAUUUAUUAGUGAAACGCUAUUAAUAAAGGUGGAUUUAAUAGUAAUUUGAUUUAUUUAAUUCAAUUGAUAUUGGCUCUAGGGUGUGUACACAUCGCCCGUCACUCUCAUUAUUGAUCAAUCUAUUUUAAUUUAAAGUUAGUUUCAGUUUAGAU
rnacentral:rRNA from 1 species